rnacentral:rRNA from 1 species
GACGAACGCUGGCGGCGUGCUUAACACAUGCAAGUCGAACGAUGAACCCGGAGCUUGCUCCGGUGGAUUAGUGGCGAACGGGUGAGUAACACGUGAGUAACCUGCCCUUGACUCUGGGAUAACUGCGGGAAACUGUAGCUAAUACCGGAUACGACCCUCGGCGGCAACGCCAGGGUGUGGAAAGAAUUUCGGUCAAGGAUGGAUUCUCGGCCUAUCAGCUUGUUGGUGAGGUAACGGCUCACCAAGGCGACGACGGGUAGCCGGGCUGAGAGGGUGACAGGCCCAGCUGUGACUGAGACAAGGCCCAGACUCCUACGGGGGGCAGCAGUGGGGAAUAUUGCUCAUUGGGCGCAAGCCUGAUGCAGCAACGCCGCGUGAGGGAUGACGGCCUUCGGGUUGUAAACCUCUUUUAGCAGGGAAGAAGCGAAAGUGACGGUACCUGCAGAAAAAGCACCGGCUAACUACGUGCCAGCCGCCGCCGUAA